rnacentral:rRNA from 1 species
AAUGAACGCUGGCGGUAUGCUUAACACAUGCAAGUCGAACGAACAAAACUGGGGCUUGCUCCAAUUUUAGUGAGUGGCAAACGGGUGAGUAACACGUGGGAAUCUACCUAUCAGUACGGAAUAACAUUUGGAAACAGAUGCUAAUACCGUAUAUUCUCCAAGGAGGAAAGAUUUAUCGUUGAUAGAUGAGCCCGCGUAAGAUUAGGUAGUUGGUAGGGUAAUGGCCUACCAAGCCGACGAUCUUUAGCUGGUCUGAGAGGAUGAUCAGCCACACUGGGACUGAGACACGGCCCAGACUCCUACGGGAGGCAGCAGUGGGGAAUAUUGGACAAUGGGCGAAAGCCUGAUCCAGCAAUACCGCGUGAAUGAUGAAGGCCUUAGGGUUGUAAAGUUCUUUUAGUUGGAAAGAUAAUGACGGUACCAACAGAAAAAGCCCCGGCUAACUCCGUGCCAGCAGCCGCCGUAA